GAUGAACGCUGGGCGGCGUGCCUAAUACAUGCAAGUCGAACGCACAGCGAAAGGUGCUUGCACCUUUCAAGUGAGUGGCGAACGGGUGAGUAACACGUGGAUAACCUACCUCAAGGUUGGGAUAACAUUUGGAACAGAUGCUAAUACCGAAUAAAACUUCGUAUCGCAAUGAUACAAGGUUAAAGGCGCUACGGCGUCACCUAGAGAUGGAUCCGCGUGC
rnacentral:rRNA from 1 species